CCUACGGGGGGCUGCAGUGGGGAAUAUUGGACAAUGGGGGGAACCCUGAUCCAGCCAUGCCGCGUGUGUGAAGAAGGCCCUCGGGUUGUAAAGCACUUUCAGUGAGGAAGAACGCCUGGUGGUUAAUACCCAUCAGGAAAGACAUCACUCACAGAAGAAGCACCGGCUAACUCCGUGCCAGCAGCCGCGGUAAUACGGAGGGUGCGAGCGUUAAUCGGAAUUACUGGGCGUAAAGCGCGCGUAGGUGGCUUGAUAAGCCGGUUGUGAAAGCCCCGGGCUCAACCUGGGAACGGCAUCCGGAACUGUCAAGCUAGAGUGCAGGAGAGGAAGGUAGAAUUCCCGGUGUAGCGGUGAAAUGCGUAGAGAUCGGGAGGAAUACCAGUGGCGAAGGCGGCCUUCUGGACUGACACUGACACUGAGGUGCGAAAGCGUGGGUAGCAAACAGGAUUAAAUACCCCGGUAGUC
rnacentral:rRNA from 1 species